rnacentral:lncRNA from 1 species
GCUUGUGGAAGUGGAAGUGGAAGUGGAAGGCAGCCAGGAAUGUGGGUGCGUAGGAGCCGAGCACAGAGACUGGAUGUCACCUCCCCAGCUGCCACUUCACUUUCUUCCAGGCGACCAACGCCCCCCCAUGAGCAGUACCUCUGAGAAGUAGUGGUGAGAAACUGUACCUAUUUGUGAUCCUCCUCUGAACUCUCUCUGCUUUCAAAAUGUCCAUUCCAAAGCCAGUUGUGGUGGUGCAUGCCUGUAAUCCCAGUGCUCUGGAGGCUGAGGCAGGAGGAUCUCGAGUUUGAGGCCAGCCUGGGUUACACAGUGAGUUCAAGACUAGCCCAAACUAUAUAGUGAGACCCUGUCUCAAAAAAUCAAAACCAAAGAAAAAGAAACAUCCAUUGCAGUGUCCCUGCCCUUCCUCUGCUUUAGUCACUUGCUUACGUGUCCUUCCCCGUGGCUAGACAGCUCCUUGAGAGCAGAGUGCAUGCCUGGCUGGUCUCUGUGUCGAACAGGGCUCCAGGCCUGGGCCAAGUGAGGCCCCGAGAAGUCUGUGCCAAGCAGGAUUUGUACACUGGGAGUUGGAACCAGGCUGCAGUCAAUCUGGCCCUGAAAUUCAUUUUGGGAAAUACUUACUUUUCUCUCAUUGCUGAGACAAAAUAUACGACCCCCAGAGGUGAAGGAGGAAAUGUUUAUUUGGCUCACAGUUCAUGGAGGUUUCAGUCCAAGGCUUGCUCCAAGGCAGGGUGGCAGAGGGGCAGCAAUUCAUGCAGGAAGGCAGCAAAAGCAACAAGGGACCUUAACAGUGUCUUUCUGUCCCUUUUAUUCAGACUACUUAGGGCGGGUAGCACUCAGUCUUAAUCCUAGUGCCCUCGGGCCUUGCCCCACAGUAAAUCAGUCACACACUCAGCCACUUCCAGAGUAGCCUGUGACCACGUGAGGCUCUGGGGGCUCUAGACACAGCCCUAACACAUGUGCCGGACCUUGCAGUCACACAGAGUCAUAAGGAAAAGGGAAGGAUGAUGUCCUUCUAGAGCAGAUCCCAUCCUGAGUGGCCACUCUCCUGUCCCUGGUGGGGUUUCCCCGUGUCAUGCACUUCGCGAGUAGGGAUGCUUAUCCCCUAGUCAUGUCCAGGUUAAGUCAGAUGUAACUGACGUCUGAGCGUGAGGAACUCUCUCCUAUCUUUAUGAAGACAUGUCCUCCGAGUAGCUUCCCGCGUGGAGGAAGAACAGAGACAGCAGCCUCUGCUGGGGCCCAGUGAGGCAGUCCGGGUCCUGGGCAGGAGGACAAGAACGAAGACCACCGCCUGGGCUGAGCGCUGUCUGGAC